ensembl:lncRNA
GAUAGCUGGAGACCAAUACCCCACUUUCAAUAAUGGACGUUAACAACCAGACGGAAGAUCGACAGGAAACAGAAGGCUUGAACAACACCUUAAACCCACUGGACCUGCCAGUUAUCCACAGAAAACUCGUCCCCUGCAGGAUGCACGUACUGUCCCAGUGUGCAUGGAACAUUGUCCACAGAGCCCCACACUAGGCUACAGAGGCCACCACACCAGGAGGCAGUGAGAGGGGACUAGGCAGGCAGGAAGACUUACCAGGAGGGGGGUGGAUUGGAAGAGGCUCGGGUGACUGACUAAAUGGAGGCACAGGGAGACGACUCCAGCCUCAGGUGGUGGGUAGCGGUCACUGGGACUGGUUUCCCAGUGACGUGGUCCCUGCAUAACUGCUCCAGGAUGGAGGGUGCAUGACUUCGGGCAUCAUGCUGAGCAGGGUGGCCUUCAUUCUGAUGCCCUGAACAUGUGCCCAGGGAGGGACGUUGACUGGUUGGUUGAUGAUUGAGGUUUUGGAUCUGCUGGUGAAGUGUGGAAUAGCUGGUCCGCUGAGGUUAGACAGGAGACAGAUAAAGAAGGCCUCUGCAUGGGUGGGGGUGCAGUAAAGAGAUAUUUCACAAGUAGAAGCACAGUGUAGACUCUCUGAACCCCAAAUUCAUAGAUCUCUAAGAACGCCCAAAUUUGAAAGUCUGAAUGUGCUGGCUCAGGACUGUCAUCAGAGGGGACCCCUUCUUUCUCAACUCCAGCCACAGCUAUGAGGUUUACUUGCAUUGGCUUUUUUAAAAAUCGCAGCAGGUUACUUCAAAGUAAACCUCUCCAUAAUUCUGCUUUCUUAAUGCCAAUCUCCACACACUGGCUAAAUGCUGAGGUCCCCAAGCACACUUCCUAGCACCUCUAUUCAGACCGUGUGCUUCUUCCAGGCUGGUUAACAGGUGCUGUCAGGCAGAAGAACUCACGCCUGCCUGAGAGGAUGAGGUGUGCAAAGCGUUCCUAAUGAGAGAAGCGGGACGGUCACUGCCCCGGCUCGGAAUGGGGAACCAGCAAAGACGUUUAAGUCCCAGACGUUUGCGGCCAUUCUCCUGACCAACAAGUGGCACCUGGGUGCGCCCACUGAGUUACAGGAGGAAAGGGUGGACCCUGGCUACCGCCCCUGCCCGGGAGCCCCUGCCAGUGCGGAAGCCCGGGAGAGGGUGGGCAGCCGCUGGCCGGGUGCGCCUUGCCGUGGAUCCCGCGGGGCUCCGAGGGCAGGAGGACAGAGCAUGGCCCUGAAGGAUGGAGUGUUCUCGGGUCCGCCUGACCCUGUCCCGACCGCCCACAGCUCUGAGGACCGCGUCUCCAUGGCAGUUGCGCUUAAACACAAAAAACCAAGCAACGUGACUGCCCACGUCUCUAGAAAAUACUGGGCAGGGUGGAAUAUCCCGAACGCGCUCCAGGAGAAAGGAUUUGGCACCCCGAGGGACUUUGAAAAUGCCAACGAGAAAAUGUGGUCCGGCUUGGCAGCUGAACUGCGCGGGAGGCCGAGGGUUUGAAAGAGGAAAGUGUAACGUGAACGGCGGCGUCGGAACUCUGGCUCUGGGAGCAGCCCCCGCCGGUCAGAAUCCUACCGUCGCGCCUAGGAAACGCCCGGGUCCUGCGGGGCGGCUGGGGGUUCGGCGAGGCUGCUCCCGCUCCCCUCGCUCCCGCCCCAGCUCCUGCAACAGGCGAUCGGGCGGCUCGGGUAUUUACAGAAUAAAAUGACAAUACGCCGAG